AUGGAGCGAGGAGUGACUCAGUAUUCAGAUGCCUCCUCCUGCCUAUUUUUCAGCCUGGGCAGACGGUUAGAUCCGUACAAUAACAAUGGGCACCCAGAUGCCUCCUCCUGCCAAUUUUUCAGCCUGGGCAGACGGUUAGAUCCACCCAGGUCUUCUCGUGAGCACAGGUCUUUUGUCCUUCAGGCCUUUGGAGACUGGCUUAUGCACGCCUUUGCCACGGACUGCAAGUGGUUCAUGAAAUACCUGGACGACAUGACGAUGGUCGUCGUCAAUUUACGUGAGACGGAAAGCGGAGGGAUCUACAUCGCUUCCAAGUUCCCAACCCCCUUCGGGUGCCAGAGCCUUGAGCUGGAAUUCAAGAGACAGGAAGAUGGGUCGUACGUCCACACAUCAGGAUGGGGUGAGGAAAAGAUAGAAAAGAUCAUGACAGAUUGCGAUACCUACACCAUUGUCACCAUCGCGAAGGUCAGGGGUGGGGUGACCUCCAGAUAUGCGGUACUUUAUGCCAGGGAGACCCAGGUGCGAAAGGAAGCUGAACAGAAAUUCCUGGACUAUGUGCAUCAUGAGCUGGGCUUUAAGGAGGAAAACAUUCAGAUGUUUGGUGACGAAGCUCCAAGGAGUGUGGCAUGGGGUCGCCUUGGCCAGCGACUGCGAGAUGGUUUUGAAGCACCGGGACGACAUGAAGAUUGUGACAGCCACCCUAACGAAGUUGGAGGACGGAGGAGUCACGGUGGCUUCCAACAUGCCCACGUAAGUUUGGCUUCCCUUUGUUUUGUUCCAAACGCGCACCUCCUCUUUCCUGCCCGGGGUUUGAGAAAUGACUGCUGUAGUCCGGAAAAGUCACUGUAGUGCCCGUGAUGGUUCAGGGAUUAUGGGC
rnacentral:lncRNA from 1 species